AAUCUAGUGCAGAUCAAGAGGGAAGUGAAAAGUGAAUGAACUUGGAACAAAAAAAUAGCGAAUGAAAAACAGACAAGAAACAGAGGAGUAGGAGUAGGAGUAGGGGCACAUAACCAUAACCAAAAUGGAGAGUUUUAUGAUGAUGAUAUUGAAUUGAACCAUUGAGUCAGAGAGAGAGAGAGAGAGAGAGAGAGAGAGAGAGAGAGAUAAUAAUCUAAAAUUCUAAUAAAUCUUUAAUUCUUAUAGAGAGAUGGAUAAGGAAGGCGAAGACGCAGAUGGAGGAGGUAUCAAAAUUCCAAACCCUAACCCUAAUCUCAGCAAUGGCUCAGCGAAGGGAAAGUCAUGCAAGGGUUGCCUCUAUUACUCAUCCACACAGAAAUCCAAAUCCAAAUAUCCCACCUGCGUUGGCCUCUCCAAAACCCUCCAACAAGUGCCCAGCUACAUUGUGGGAGAGACUGAGUUAGAGGCUUCUAAAGCGGACCGCAGCCUUACAGAUUUCAAGUAUGCUUGUGUAGGUUACUCGGUGUUCUUAGACAGAAAAGAUUCUUCUAGUGAUCAGCAGAAUAAACAAGCGGAAUUGCCGUUUUGUGUUGGUCUUGAGGUAUUGUAUGACAAAAAACCUGCAGGCCAUGCACAGGCUGAUGCUCCUGCUCAUAAAAUUGAAGGUCACCUUAUUAUACAUAAGAACUCUCGGUUGAAGCCACUUGUCACGUGCAUGAUCACCCACAAGAGGAAAUCCACGUAAGGAAAAGUGUUGAGCACUAGUUCCUCAUUGAUUGGGCUAAGCGUCCAGUGAAGCUAUAUACCCCUAUUAGCAACCUUGUUUAUAAAUUCUUGGUGUGUCUCCAGAAAAUGUUCGGCCGAUUCCUCAACCCCAAAGCUACAGACCACCACAUUCAACAGGAGAUGAAUAUCUCAACAGGUUUAAGAGGAAUGCAAUACUAGUAGCAUCAGGUGUUGCUAAGAAUGUGAAUAGAGUGGGAAGCUAUAUCAAACAGAGUGUGGAUGACAUUCUAUACCCUUACCGUAGAAGGCCUAAGUAACAAUUUUGAUUGUAUGAGUAAUUUAUAGCAUAAAAGAAGCCCAAUGCCUGAAAUGGCAUGAUCCCAGUUGUAUGAUUAAAUUGAAAUGUUCCUCCCUCCCUCCUCCUUGUAUGAACAAAUUAAUCAUCACACGAAGGGAGCGGUUUGUAUAUUUUCGUUUGAAAAUAAUUGCUAACAUAUGGGUUUUCGUCUACAAGUAAUUUUUGUUACUUGCGGCCAAAUUUUUACAUAAAUAAUUAUGUGGCUUAGUUGUUUGAUCAGGAGUGAUCAAGCAUUAA